AUUGAACGCUGGCGGCAGGCCUAACACAUGCAAGUCGAGCGGAUGAAGGGAGCUUGCUCCUGGAUUCAGCGGCGGACGGGUGAGUAAUGCCUAGGAAUCUGCCUGGUAGUGGGGGAUAACGUCCGGAAACGGGCGCUAAUACCGCAUACGUCCUGAGGGAGAAAGUGGGGGAUCUUCGGACCUCACGCUAUCAGAUGAGCCUAGGUCGGAUUAGCUAGUUGGUGGGGUAAAGGCCUACCAAGGCGACGAUCCGUAACUGGUCUGAGAGGAUGAUCAGUCACACUGGAACUGAGACACGGUCCAGACUCCUACGGGAGGCAGCCGUGGGGAAUAUUGGACAAUGGGCGAAAGCCUGAUCCAGCCAUGCCGCGUGCGUGAAGAAGGUCUUCGGAUUGUAAAGCACUUUAAGUUGGGAGGAAGGGCAGUAAGUUAAUACCUUGCUGUUUUGACGUUACCAACAGAAUAAGCACCGGCUAACUUCGUG
rnacentral:rRNA from 1 species